rnacentral:rRNA from 1 species
CGGUAAUUCCAGCUCCAAUAGCGUAUAUUAAAGUUGUUGCAGUUAAAAAGCUCGUAGUUGAACCUUGGGCUUGGUUGGCCGGUCCGCCUUUUUGGCGAGUACUGGACCCAACCGAGCCUUUCCUUCUGGCUAACCUUUCGCCCUUGUGGUGUUUGGCGAACCAGGACUUUUACUUUGAAAAAAUUAGAGUGUUCAAAGCAGGCCUUUGCUCGAAUAUAUUAGCAUGGAAUAAUAGAAUAGGACGUUAUGGUUCUAUUUUGUUGGUUUCUAGGACCAUCGUAAUGAUUAAUAGGGACGGUCGGGGGCAUCAGUAUUCAGUUGUCAGAGGUGAAAUUCUUGGAUUUACUGAAGACCAACUACUGCGAAAGCAUUUGCCAAGGACGUUUUCAUUAAUCAAGAACGAAAGUUAGGGGAUCGAAGAUGAUCAGACACCGUCGUAGUCUUAACCAUAAACUAUGCCGACUAGGGAUCGGGUGUUGUUCUUUUUUUGACGCACUCGGCACCUUACGAGAAAUCAAAGUCCUUGGGUUCUGGGGGGAGUAUGGUCGCAAGGCUGAAACUUAUAGGAAUUGACGGAAGGGCACCACCAGGAGUGGAGCCUGCGGCUUAAUUUGACUCAACACGGGGAAACUCACCAGGUCCAGACACAAUAAGGAUUGACAGAUUGAGAGCUCUUUCUUGAUUUUGUGGGUGGUGGUGCAUGGCCGUUCUUAGUUGGUGGAGUGAUUUGUCUGCUUAAUUGCGAUAACGAACGAGACCUUAACCUACUAAAUAGUGCUGCUAGCUUUUGCUGGUAUAGUCACUUCUUAGAGGGACUAUCGAUUUCAAGUCGAUGGAAGUUUGAGGCAUAAC